rnacentral:rRNA from 1 species
UGGGGAAUUUUGGACAAUGGGCGAAAGCCUGAUCCAGCAAUGCCGCGUGUGUGAAGAAGACCUUCGGGUUGUAAAGCACUUUUGUCCGGAAAGAAAUCCUUGGCUCUAAUACAGUCGGGGGAUGACGGUACCGGAAGAAUAAGCACCGGCUAACUACGUGCCAGCAGCCGCGGUAAUACGUAGGGUGCAAGCGUUAAUCGGAAUUACUGGGCGUAAAGCGUGCGCAGGCGGUUUGCUAAGACCGAUGUGAAAUCCCCGGGCUCAACCUGGGAACUGCAUUGGUGACUGGCAGGCUAGAGUAUGGCAGAGGGGGGUAGAAUUCCACGUGUAGCAGUGAAAUGCGUAGAGAUGUGGAGGAAUACCGAUGGCGAAGGCAGCCCCCUGGGCCAAUACUGACGCUCAUGCACGAAAGCGUGGGGAGCAAACAGGAUUAGAUACCCUGGUAGUCCACGCCCUAAACGAUGUCAACUAGUUGUUGGGGAUUCAUUUCCUUAGUAACGUAGCUAACGCGUGAAGUUGACCGCCUGGGGAGUACGGUCGCAAGAUUAAAACUCAAAGGAAUUGAC